GAACGAACGCUGGCGGCAUGCCUAACACAUGCAAGUCGAACGAGACCUUCGGGUCUAGUGGCGCACGGGUGCGUAACGCGUGGGAACCUGCCCUUAGGUUCGGAAUCACUCCCCGAAAGGGGUGCUAAUACCGGAUAAUGUCUUCGGACCAAAGAUUUAUCGCCUUUGGAUGGGCCCGCGUUGGAUUAGCUAGUUGGUAGGGUAAAAGCCUACCAAGGCGACGAUCCAUAGCUGGUCUGAGAGGAUGAUCAGCCACACUGGGACUGAGACACGGCCCAGACUCCUACGGGAGGCAGCAGUGGGGAAUAUUGGACAAUGGGCGAAAGCCUGAUCCAGCAAUGCCGCGUGAGUGAUGAAGGCCUUAGGGUUGUAAAGCUCUUUUACCCGGGAUGAUAAUGACAGUACCGGGAGAAUAAGCUCCGGCUAACUCCGUG
rnacentral:rRNA from 1 species